GAAUGAUGAGCUGGAGACAAACACUUGGAAACUCUCACCAUUCCAAAUUAAUCACACUGAAAAACCAAGCUGUUAGAAAGAGCUAGCAAAUUAAACAAUGAUUAUAAUUAAUCAGGAAAUGAAUAUAGGAGCGUAGCCUUCACUGCCAGCGAGAGCGACCAACCAUGCAUUUCAUUUCAACGUUUCUUCUUCACUAGAAGCAUGCGUCGAGCAGGCAACAACAGCAAAGUGCAGCACAACUGCAACACAAGUUUAUUAACAAACCACGACUACAUAAUUAAUUCAUUUAAUGUUAUUUAGAAUUAGUUAAGAUUAGGACUUAGAAGAAAUGUUGUAUAAAUUGAACCCCAAUACUCAUAAAUGAUCCCAUGAAUGCACUACGAUAAGAAAUAAACAGAGCUUAAUCAAAUUUCUCCAACUAUUCUCGUUUCAUUAGAGAUCAUAAUAUAAUACUCCCAACUAUUAUCUCCACUUUCCAACAUUAUAUUAAUUGAUUUUUUAGCUAAUUAUACCUGCCUAAAUAUAUAUUUAAUUGAUAAAGUGUAACAUCAAUGAGAUAAUCGAUUUGUGUACAAUAUCAGAAAGGAAUGAAAGCCACGCACAUCCCAAAUUAAACCACCAAAUACAUCAAAUCAACACAAGAAAUUUAUUCAAUUAAGCAAGGAAAUGCAUAUAAAUAGAGGCGUACCAUCCUUGCAAGAAACCGGAAUCGCCGCCGCUAGGUUUAUGGUGCUGCGGCGGCGGCGGAGGAGGAGCGUACUGUGGGGGGUAGGGGUGGUACUGGGGCUGGGGAGGGUAACCUGGGGGCGGGUACCCCUGCGGUGGGUAGGGUUGGGGUGGGUAACCUGGGGGCGGGUACCCCUGCGGCGGAUAACCCUCCUUCGGAUAUCCCUCCGGCGGCUGCGGAGGAUAUCCUGUAACAUUAGAUCAAUGCCAAAUAAAAUUAAUAAUGCGAUGGAUCGGAUCAUAUAUAAAUAUGCAUGAAAUUGAAGAGGAGAGUUUGAAUGCAUGCCUUGAGGAGAAGGAACGCCGACGGGUGGCGGUUGAUUGUUCUGAUUGUAAUAACUCAUGAUCGAUCUCUGUUGUUGCCAAUCAGAUCGGAUUUCUGCAACUCUAAAAAAAAGCUCGUAUUUCGCACUUUAAAUUUUGUUAUUAUAUUCUAACAAGAGAGAUUUUUAUUUCGCAACACCAAAUUCUAUUAUGAAUUUCUAAACAGAUUAUUGCACAUGUAAUGUGUGUGCAUUCCGAGCAGCUUUAGAUUUGGACCCACGAU
rnacentral:lncRNA from 1 species